GCCAGGCACAGUGGUGCGUGCCUGUAGUCCCAGCUACUUGGGAGGCUAGUGGGUGGGCUUGAGCCCCAGGAGUUCUGGGCUGUGGUGCGCUAUGCCGAUCGGGUGUCUGCCUUAAUUUGGGUUCCUCAUGGGGAUCUUCUGGGAGCAGGAGACUCCAAGGUGGCUCAAGAGGGGUGAUCUGGCCAGGUCGGACCAUCUCUGGUCCACACCUCUCUUCUGAUCACAUGGGGAUUGGCCCUGCGAUCGUCACUGGUACUCCAGCUCGGGGAAAUUACUAGAACCCCGUCCUA
rnacentral:SRP_RNA from 1 species